AGCGAACGCUGGCGGCAGGCCUAACACAUGCAAGUCGAACGGAUCCUUCGGGGUUAGUGGCGGACGGGUGAGUAACACGUGGGAACGUGCCCUUUGGUUCGGAACAACUCAGGGAAACUUGAGCUAAUACCGGAUGUGCCCUUCGGGGGAAAGAUUUAUCGCCAUUGGAGCGGCCCGCGUCUGAUUAGCUAGUUGGUGAGGUAAAGGCUCACCAAGGCGACGAUCAGUAGCUGGUCUGAGAGGAUGAUCAGCCACAUUGGGACUGAGACACGGCCCAAACUCCUACGGGAGGCAGCAGUGGGGAAUCUUGCGCAAUGGGCGAAAGCCUGACGCAGCCAUGCCGCGUGAAUGAUGAAGGUCUUAGGAUUGUAAAAUUCUUUCACCGGGGACGAUAAUGACGGUACCCGGAGAAGAAGCCCCGGCUAACUUCGUGCCAGCAGCCGCCGCCGUAA
rnacentral:rRNA from 1 species